UACGUAGGGUGCGAGCGUUGUCCGGAAUUAUUGGGCGUAAAGAGCUCGUAGGCGGUGUGUCGCGUCGGCCGUGAAAACCUGCAGCUUAACUGUGGGCUUGCGGUCGAUACGGGCAUCACUGGAGUUCGGCAGGGGAGACUGGAAUUCCUGGUGUAGCGGUGAAAUGCGCAGAUAUCAGGAGGAACACCAAUGGCGAAGGCAGCUUGCUGGGACGGUACUGACGCUGAGACGCGAAAGCGUGGGGAGCAAACAG
rnacentral:rRNA from 1 species